rnacentral:rRNA from 2 species
GUCUAUGGCCAUACCACCCUGAAGGUACCCAAUCUCGUCUGAUCUCAGAAGUAAGCAGGGUUGGGCCUAGUUAGUACUUGGAUGGGAAAUAAUCAGAAGGAUCAAAAGAUAAAUGAAAAGGAGGCCAUUUCCU